GGGUUGUGAGGUUAAGCGACUAAGCGUACACGGUGGAUGCCCUGGCAGUCAGAGGCGAUGAAGGACGUGCUAAUCUGCGAUAAGCGUCGGUAAGGUGAUAUGAACCGUUAUAACCGGCGAUUUCCGAAUGGGGAAACCCAGUGUGWUUCGWCACACUAUCAUUAACUGAAUCCAUAGGUUAAUGAGGCGAACCGGGGGAACUGAAACAUCUAAGUACCCCGAGGAAAAGAAAUCAACCGAGAUUCCCCCAGUAGCGGCGAGCGAACGGGGAGSAGCCCAGAGCCUGAAUCAGUGUGUGUGUUAGUGGAAGYGUCUGGAAAGGCGCGCGAUACAGGGUGACAGCCCCGUACACAAAAAUGCACAURCUGUGAGCUCGAUGAGUAGGGCGGGACACGUGGUAUCCUGUCUGAAUAUGGGGGGACCAUCCUCCAAGGCUAAAUACUCCUGACUGACCGAUAGUGAACCAGUACCGUGAGGGAAAGGCGAAAAGAACCCCGGCGAGGGGAGUGAAAAAGAACCUGAAACCGUGUACGUACAAGCAGUGGGAGCACGCUUAGGCGUGUGACUGCGUACCUUUUGUAUAAUGGGUCAGCGACUUAUAUUCUGUAGCAAGGUUAACCGAAUAGGGGAGCCGAAGGGAAACCGAGUCUUAACUGGGCGUUAAGUUGCAGGGUAUAGACCCGAAACCCGGUGAUCUAGCCAUGGGCAGGUUGAAGGUUGGGUAACACUAACUGGAGGACCGAACCGACUAAUGUUGAAAAAUUAGCGGAUGACUUGUGGCUGGGGGUGAAAGGCCAAUCAAACCGGGAGAUAGCUGGUUCUCCCCGAAAGCUAUUUAGGUAGCGCCUCGUGAAUUCAUCUCCGGGGGUAGAGCACUGUUUCGGCAAGGGGGUCAUCCCGACUUACCAACCCGAUGCAAACUGCGAAUACCGGAGAAUGUUAUCACGGGAGACACACGGCGGGUGCUAACGUCCGUCGUGAAGAGGGAAACAACCCAGACCGCCAGCUAAGGUCCCAAAGUCAUGGUUAAGUGGGAAACGAUGUGGGAAGGCCCAGACAGCCAGGAUGUUGGCUUAGAAGCAGCCAUCAUUUAAAGAAAGCGUAAUAGCUCACUGGUCGAGUCGGCCUGCGCGGAAGAUGUAACGGGGCUAAACCAUGCACCGAAGCUGCGGCAGCGACGCUGAUGCGUUGUUGGGUAGGGGAGCGUUCUGUAAGCCUGCGAAGGUGUGCUGUGAGGCAUGCUGGAGGUAUCAGAAGUGCGAAUGCUGACAUAAGUAACGAUAAAGCGGGUGAAAAGCCCGCUCGCCGGAAGACCAAGGGUUCCUGUCCAACGUUAAUCGGGGCAGGGUGAGUCGACCCCUAAGGCGAGGCCGAAAGGCGUAGUCGAUGGGAAACAGGUUAAUAUUCCUGUACUUGGUGUUACUGCGAAGGGGGGACGGAGAAGGCUAUGUUGGCCGGGCGACGGUUGUCCCGGUUUAAGCGUGUAGGCUGGUUUUCCAGGCAAAUCCGGAAAAYYAAGGCUGAGGCGUGAUGACGAGGCACUACGGUGCUGAAGCAACAAAUGCCCUGCUUCCAGGAAAAGCCUCUAAGCAUCAGGUAACAUCAAAUCGUACCCCAAACCGACACAGGUGGUCAGGUAGAGAAUACCAAGGCGCUUGAGAGAACUCGGGUGAAGGAACUAGGCAAAAUGGUGCCGUAACUUCGGGAGAAGGCACGCUGAUAUGUAGGUGAAGUCCCUCGCGGAUGGAGCUGAAAUCAGUCGAAGAUACCAGCUGGCUGCAACUGUUUAUUAAAAACACAGCACUGUGCAAACACGAAAGUGGACGUAUACGGUGUGACGCCUGCCCGGUGCCGGAAGGUUAAUUGAUGGGGUYAGCGCAAGCGAAGCUCUUGAUCGAAGCCCCGGUAAACGGCGGCCGUAACUAUAACGGUCCUAAGGUAGCGAAAUUCCUUGUCGGGUAAGUUCCGACCUGCACGAAUGGCGUAAUGAUGGCCAGGCUGUCUCCACCCGAGACUCAGUGAAAUUGAACUCGCUGUGAAGAUGCAGUGUACCCGCGGCAAGACGGAAAGACCCCGUGAACCUUUACUAUAGCUUGACACUGAACAUUGAGCCUUGAUGUGUAGGAUAGGUGGGAGGCUUUGAAGUGUGGACGCCAGUCUGCAUGGAGCCGACCUUGAAAUACCACCCUUUAAUGUUUGAUGUUCUAACGUUGACCCGURAUCCGGGUUGCGGACAGUGUCUGGUGGGUAGUUUGACUGGGGCGGUCUCCUCCUAAAGAGUAACGGAGGAGCACGAAGGUUGGCUAAUCCUGGUCGGACAUCAGGAGGUUAGUGCAAUGGCAUAAGCCAGCUUGACUGCGAGCGUGACGGCGCGAGCAGGUGCGAAAGCAGGUCAUAGUGAUCCGGUGGUUCUGAAUGGAAGGGCCAUCGCUCAACGGAUAAAAGGUACUCCGGGGAUAACAGGCUGAUACCGCCCAAGAGUUCAUAUCGACGGCGGUGUUUGGCACCUCGAUGUCGGCUCAUCACAUCCUGGGGCUGAAGUAGGUCCCAAGGGUAUGGCUGUUCGCCAUUUAAAGUGGUACGCGAGCUGGGUUUAGAACGUCGUGAGACAGUUCGGUCCCUAUCUGCCGUGGGCGCUGGAGAAYUGAGGGGGGCUGCUCCUAGUACGAGAGGACCGGAGUGGACGCAUCACUGGUGUUCGGGUUGUCAUGCCAAUGGCACUGCCCGGUAGCUAAAUGCGGAAGAGAUAAGUGCUGAAAGCAUCUAAGCACGAAACUUGCCCCGAGAUGAGUUCUCCCUGACUCCUUGAGAGUCCUGAAGGAACGUUGAAGACGACGACGUUGAUAGGCCGGGUGUGUAAGCGCAGCGAUGCGUUGAGCUAACCGGUACUAAUGAACCGUGAGGCUUAACCUUACAACGCCGAAG
rnacentral:rRNA from 1 species